rnacentral:rRNA from 1 species
UUAAGCGACUAAGCGUACACGGUGGAUGCCCUGGCAGUCAGAGGCGAUGAAGGACGUGCUAAUCUGCGAAAAGCGUCGGUAAGGUGAUAUGAACCGUUAUAGCCGGCGAUGUCCGAAUGGGGAAACCCAGUGCAAUUCGUUGCACUAUCGUUAACUGAAUACAUAGGUUAACGAGGCGAACCGGGGGAACUGAAACAUCUAAGUACCCCGAGGAAAAGAAAUCAACCGAGAUUCCCCCAGUAGCGGCGAGCGAACGGGGAGCAGCCCAGAGUCUGAAUCAGCUUGUGUGUUAGUGGAACGGUCUGGAAAGUCCGACGGUACAGGGUGAUAGUCCCGUACACCAAAAUGCACAGGCUGUGAACUCGAAGAGUAGGGCGGGACACGUGGUAUCCUGUCUGAAUAUGGGGGGACCAUCCUCCAAGGCUAAAUACUCCUGACUGACCGAUAGUGAACCAGUACCGUGAGGGAAAGGCGAAAAGAACCCCGGCGAGGGGAGUGAAAAAGAACCUGAAACCGUGUACGUACAAGCAGUGGGAGCACCUUCGGGUGUGACUGCGUACCUUUUGUAUAAUGGGUCAGCGACUUAUAUUCUGUAGCAAGGUUAACCGUAUAGGGGAGCCGCAGGGAAACCGAGUCUUAACUGGGCGUUAAGUUGCAGGGUAUAGACCCGAAACCCGGUGAUCUAGCCAUGGGCAGGUUGAAGGUUGGGUAACACUAACUGGAGGACCGAACCGACUAAUGUUGAAAAAUUAGCGGAUGACUUGUGGCUGGGGGUGAAAGGCCAAUCAAACCGGGAGAUAGCUGGUUCUCCCCGAAAGCUAUUUAGGUAGCGCCUCGUGAAUUCAUCUUCGGGGGUAGAGCACUGUUUCGGCUAGGGGGUCAUCCCGACUUACCAACCCGAUGCAAACUACGAAUACCGAAGAAUGUUAUCACGGGAGACACACGGCGGGUGCUAACGUCCGUCGUGAAGAGGGAAACAACCCAGACCGCCAGCUAAGGUCCCAAAGUCAUGGUUAAGUGGGAAACGAUGUGGGAAGGCACAGACAGCCAGGAUGUUGGCUUAGAAGCAGCCAUCAUUUAAAGAAAGCGUAAUAGCUCACUGGUCGAGUCGGCCUGCGCGGAAGAUGUAACGGGGCUAAACCAUGCACCGAAGCUGCGGCAGCGACACUAUGUGUUGUUGGGUAGGGGAGCGUUCUGUAAGCCUGCGAAGGUGUGCUGUGAGGCAUGCUGGAGGUAUCAGAAGUGCGAAUGCUGACAUAAGUAACGAUAAAGCGGGUGAAAAGCCCGCUCGCCGGAAGACCAAGGGUUCCUGUCCAACGUUAAUCGGGGCAGGGUGAGUCGACCCCUAAGGCGAGGCCGAAAGGCGUAGUCGAUGGGAAACAGGUUAAUAUUCCUGUACUUGGUGUUACUGCGAAGGGGGGACGGAGAAGGCUAUGUUAGCCGGGCGACGGUUGUCCCGGUUUAAGCAUGUAGGCUGGUUGUCCAGGCAAAUCCGGAUAAUCAAGGCUGAGGUGUGAUGACGAGGCACUACGGUGCUGAAGUAACAAAUGCCCUGCUUCCAGGAAAAGCCUCUAAGCAUCAGGUAACAUUAAAUCGUACCCCAAACCGACACAGGUGGUCAGGUAGAGAAUACCAAGGCGCUUGAGAGAACUCGGGUGAAGGAACUAGGCAAAAUGGUGCCGUAACUUCGGGAGAAGGCACGCUGGUGUGUAGGUGAAGUCCCUGCGGAUGGAGCUGAGACCAGUCGAAGAUACCAGCUGGCUGCAACUGUUUAUUAAAAACACAGCACUGUGCAAACACGAAAGUGGACGUAUACGGUGUGACGCCUGCCCGGUGCCGGAAGGUUAAUUGAUGGGGUUAUCCGUAAGGAGAAGCUCUUGAUCGAAGCCCCGGUAAACGGCGGCCGUAACUAUAACGGUCCUAAGGUAGCGAAAUUCCUUGUCGGGUAAGUUCCGACCUGCACGAAUGGCGUAAUGAUGGCCAGGCUGUCUCCACCCGAGACUCAGUGAAAUUGAACUCGCUGUGAAGAUGCAGUGUACCCGCGGCAAGACGGAAAGACCCCGUGAACCUUUACUAUAGCUUGACACUGAACAUUGAGCCUUGAUGUGUAGGAUAGGUGGGAGGCUUUGAAGCGUGGACGCCAGUCUGCGUGGAGCCAACCUUGAAAUACCACCCUUUAAUGUUUGAUGUUCUAACGUUGGCCCCUUACCGGGGUUGCGGACAGUGUCUGGUGGGUAGUUUGACUGGGGCGGUCUCCUCCCAAAGCGUAACGGAGGAGCACGAAGGUUAGCUAAUCCUGGUCGGACAUCAGGAGGUUAGUGCAAUGGCAUAAGCUAGCUUGACUGCGAGCGUGACGGCGCGAGCAGGUGCGAAAGCAGGUCAUAGUGAUCCGGUGGUUCUGAAUGGAAGGGCCAUCGCUCAACGGAUAAAAGGUACUCCGGGGAUAACAGGCUGAUACCGCCCAAGAGUUCAUAUCGACGGCGGUGUUUGGCACCUCGAUGUCGGCUCAUCACAUCCUGGGGCUGAAGUAGGUCCCAAGGGUAUGGCUGUUCGCCAUUUAAAGUGGUACGCGAGCUGGGUUUAGAACGUCGUGAGACAGUUCGGUCCCUAUCUGCCGUGGGCGCUGGAGAAUUGAGGGGGGCUGCUCCUAGUACGAGAGGACCGGAGUGGACGCAUCACUGGUGUUCGGGUUGUCAUGCCAAUGGCACUGCCCGGUAGCUAAAUGCGGAAGAGAUAAGUGCUGAAAGCAUCUAAGCACGAAACUUGCCCCGAGAUGAGUUCUCCCUGAGACUUUAAGUCUCCUGAAGGAACGUUAAAGACGAUGACGUUGAUAGGCCGGGUGUGUAAGCGCAGCGAUGCGUUGAGCUAACCGGUACUAAUGAACCGUGAGGCUUAACCUU